UACGGAAGGUUCGGGCGUUAUCCGGAUUUAUUGGGUUUAAAGGGAGCGUAGGCCGGAGAUUAAGCGUGUUGUGAAAUGUAGACGCUCAACGUCUGCACUGCAGCGCGAACUGGUUUCCUUGAGUACGCAUAAAGUGGGCGGAAUUCGUGGUGUAGCGGUGAAAUGCUUAGAUAUCACGAAGAACUCCGAUUGCGAAGGCAGCUCACUGGGGCGCAACUGACGCUGAAGCUCGAAAGCGCGGGUAUCGAACAGG
rnacentral:rRNA from 1 species